UACGUAGGGGGCAAGCGUUGUCCGGAAUUAUUGGGCGUAAAGAGCUCGUAGGCGGUUUGUCGCGUCUGCUGUGAAAACCCGAGGCUCAACCUCGGGCCUGCAGUGGGUACGGGCAGACUAGAGUGCGGUAGGGGAGAUUGGAAUUCCUGGUGUAGCGGUGAAAUGCGCAGAUAUCAGGAGGAACACCGAUGGCGAAGGCAGUGAUCUGGGCCAGUACUGACGCUGAGGAGCGAAAGCGUGGGGAGCAAACAGG
rnacentral:rRNA from 1 species